AUGGUUCUUGGAGACUUUAAUAUGAUCUUAAGAGCGGAAGAGAAGAAUAACACCAAUCUCAAUAGAUCCAUGAUGAGGAGAUUCAAGGCAUUUGUGGAUAAUAAUGAGCUCAAAGAGCUAUACAUGCAUGGAAGGAGGUUCAUGUGGUCUAAUGAGAGGGAGAACGUGGUGAUGACCAAGAUCGAUUGUGUUCUU
rnacentral:rRNA from 1 species